rnacentral:rRNA from 1 species
GUGCCAGCCGCCGCGGUAAUACGGAGGAUGCAAGCGUUAUCCGGAUUCAUUGGGUUUAAAGGGUGCGCAGGCGGAAUGAUAAGUCAGUGGUGAAAUCCUACGGCUCAACUGUAGAACUGCCAUUGAUACUGUCAUUCUUGAGUACACUUGAAGUGGGCGGAAUGUGUCAUGUAGCGGUGAAAUGCUUAGAUAUGACACAGAACACCGAUCGCGAAGGCAGCUCACUAAAUUGUAACUGACGCUCAUGCACGAAAGCGUGGGGAUCAAACAGGAUUAGAUACCCUAGUAGUCC